GUGAGUGGUCAUUGCUUCUCCUGGGGGGCACCUUGAUCUACCAAAGAACACCAGAAGAUGAAGAAUGACACCUUGAGUGCUGGUGAAGAAAGACAAGAUUGGAAACCUGCCAAGCAUGAAAGUGUAAAUGGAUAUACAUCUGUUGAAGUGAGAAGACUGCAUGAGGUUGAAGUAAGGAGACUGAGUCAAACAAGCUCAGAAUGAAUUUGGGGAUACCAGGAAGAUGUUUCAUACUACAGAUAAUUGCCAGAUUGGUCUAGUAGACAGUGCAGACCAACACAGGAAGAUGAUAUCCACUUUCUGGAUCCGGAGGCUGUAUUCCAGAAGGGAAAGCUGCUGGAGCUCUACUCGGGGGUCCAGAGACCACUUGUCCUGACCAGCAAAAAUGAUGCCAGAACGAUUUAACCAGGCCACCUUGGAGCUUUUGUCUUCUAUAAAACACCUGUAUGAGAUGACAGAACGAAAUACUGGUUUCUAAGAAGUCCGUGCAUUUGGAAUUUAAAACAAGCAUGAAAACUUUUCCUAUGGUCCCAUCACACUGAUAAUGCAUGUAUUGUAAUGGCACAUCUCUAGAGGACAUUUUAAUUUUCCAGAGUACUUUCCAACCGUUCCUAUAUUUCCCUUCUUAAUAAUCCAUAAUCAGUAAAAUUGCAACUAUUCUUAUCUGUUGAUCUAGCCAUAGAACUAGGAUUACAAUUGUAGUAUGUGCCAAAUGAGCAAUAUUGACCUAGGAAUCACAGCUGAAUCUGUUUGUAAUGGUCAGUUCCCAAACUAAUAAGAAUUAAGAAGAUGGUUUUAUAAGCAGUCAUUGGCGAGCUCCUUUGUUAUCACUGAAGAGGCCUACCAGUUUAUGGCUUAACAGAAAAAAAGUAAAAAAAAAAAAAAAAAUGAGGAAGACUACCCCAAUUAUAUGUUAGUGAGAAUACAGAACACAAAACAUUCCAAGUACUAUGCCAGUUUGAGGAAGGAAAGAUUAAGGCUAUGAGCUGUAUUUUCUGUUACAUUACACAUUGCCUUUCUAGCACUGUUUUGUGCCAUACCUUUUGGCAUUAAAAUGGUGUGCUAUUGCUUAUUUACCCCCAACGGGCUGUAUCAGAUAGCUUUCAGCUACUGAAAAGUAGAUACUGCUUGUCCCUUAGCCAACCUCAGUUCAACAUCUCAUGCCUUUCUUGAUCAAAAAGAUGAGAAACCUGUUCAGAGUGUACAGAUUCUUACUGCUUUCUUAUCUGCUUAUACCACCAUGUAAUACAUAAAUAGGACAGUGAUACAAAAAUGCAGUACAAUUUACCACUUUCACAUGGCAUGUUAUUGUCGAUACUAAGAGGAUAUUAAUAGGCAGAGAAAUGAACAGAGAGCCUUUGCAAGCACCAUAACUCACUUAAUCCUUAGAUAUGAAAGCAUAAAGAAGCUCUUACAAGUUUGGGAGCUCCAACAGUAUCUCAUGGAUGAAACCAGCCAGUAAGGGUUCUGGAGUAACAUGGCUUCAUCAGAUUUGGAAGGAAUAUAUAAUUGUUUACAUGAGACAACAUGAGAGGGACAGCUGUUUGGCUGACAUUGGUGAACUUAAAAAGAACUUGAUUUAUUUUGAUUCCAUGAUUAAAUACAUUUUGGUUACUGUCUAUAUGGAAAAAACUUCUAUAUACAAACUACACAAUGCAAUUUAGAGUGCUCCUAAGUAUAAAUAAGUAAAAUGAUAUAUUUUGGUACAUGUUGUAGUUUUCCAUUGUUCAUUAAUUAGAAAAUUGGCACUGUCCUCCUUACAAUAAAACCAACAAAAUCCUGAUGGAUACUCCAGCCCAAAUCAGCUGCUAGUGGAAGUGAAUACAUUAGGACUAGCAGAAUAACAUGUAUUUCCAUGUUGUUUUCCCUUCUUCAGUAUACAUUUUAAUUAUUUGU